UUUUUUACAUAAUGUUUACAUACACUUUAUAUAUAUAUAUAUAUACAUACCUAAAAAAAAAAAAAAAGAAAAAAAGAAAAAGAAGGAAAAAAAAGAAAGGCAAAAAAAUGUUUACACAAAUCUCAUAAACAUAUACCAAACUGCAACCAUCACCACCCCCACCAUCAUCCCCCACCAUCGCUACUACCACUUCUUCUCCCUCUCUCUCUCUCUCUCUCUCUCUCUCUCUCUCUCUCUCUCUCUUUCUGAAACAGCACACAAUGUUCUAGUCUACCCACUCCCAAAACUCAGCAACGAACCUGCUUCUGCUUCUGCUUCUGCUGGCAACUUGAAAGGAAUCACAGCGACAGUCGAACGAUGCGUUUUCCACGUGCGACACGCGUUUCUAUCCGCUAGAAAUUUACACACACUCUCUCUCUCUCUCUCUCUCUCUCUCUCUCUUUCUCUCUCUCUCUGUCUAUUUCCCUAUCUCUCUCUCUAUCUCUCUCUUAUGCAUACAAGAUAUAUACAAGUACAGACAUACACAAGUAAAUAAACACAUACAAAUACAUAUUACUCAUAGACACAGAUAUUACUCGAAUUUCAUUUCACUCCCCUUUCGAACGCGAGUGAAGGGCUUCUUUCCUGUCUCCCCUUUUAAUACACACACACACACACACACACACACAUAUAUAUAUAUAUAUAUAUAUAUAGAGACAUACACAUAUACAAAGGAAUCAUAUUAAUACAUAGAGAGAAAGAUAGACGGAUUAACAUACACGUAUAUAUUUUAUUCGUUCGAUUCUAUAUUAGUUUUGUAUUUGACGUGUCUGAGUUUUCACGUAUACGGUUUAACUUUACGUGUAUGGGUUUAUAAAUGUGCGGACCUUUAUGCCUAUGUAUAUAUCUAUGUGUGUUUGUGUGUGUGUCUGUGUAUGUGUCUUUGUGGGUUUUACAUUUGUGUGUAUUUGUAAAGCCCAUCGAUCGUUCUAACUAAGAACGAAGGACGAAGUUGCUCAGUUGUAACGAAUCUGUCGUUAGUAACACCGACCAAAUCAAAAAUUAUUUCAUCGGAGAAAUAUUUCGGUGGUUCGAUUUAGUGUAUUCCAGCGAAAAAAGAAAGUGUAUUUUAUUGGAAAUGAUCGAACACUCAUUUGCUCCGUUAAAUUUGAUUUAAUGGUGUUUAAUGUGUUUAACCGAGGGCGGAAGAGA